rnacentral:rRNA from 1 species
UACGUAGGGGGCAAGCGUUGUCCGGAUUUAUUGGGCGUAAAGAGCGUGUAGGCGGUCAGGUAGGUCCGUUGUGAAAACUCGAGGCUCAACCUCGAGACGCCGAUGGAAACCAUCUGACUAGAGUCCGGAAGAGGAGAGUGGAAUUCCCGGUGUAGCGGUGAAAUGCGCAGAUAUCGGGAAGAACACCCGUGGCGAAGGCGGCACUCUGGGACGGUACUGACGCUGAGACGCGAAAGCGUGGGGAGCGAACAGG